UGUGAAGAGGGUGAGAAUCACAGUGCGGUUCUCCUCUGGCACGAAGGCUGGCCAGAGCAGCUUAUAUUGCCACCACCCUUCCUUGCCAAAGGAGAAUUGCCCUGCCAUUCACAACCCUGCAAU
rnacentral:pre_miRNA from 1 species